GGCUUCCUCAACCUCAGCCCUCCAGAUAUUUUUGGCCUACAACUCCCAUGAUCCCUAGUGGUCAGGGAUGAUGGGAAUUGUAGUCCCAGAACAUCUGGAGGGCUGAGGUUGAGGAAGCC